GUUAACAAUUCUCCGCAACGCGAAGGUUCCUUUUCCCCCGCGUGAAGCCUCCUUUUUCCGUGACGCGAAGCGAUCUGCGUUAGGGCUUUGUCGCCUCUCGCCGAUAAGAUCGCCAAGCCUCUUUUCCCCGAUCUGCGUUAGGGUUUUGUUCGCCUCUCGACGGUAAGAUCGCGAAGCCUCCUUUUCCCCAUCCUAAUCGAGUGAGUCUACCCUCGGCCAGACUGCGCCGCCGCCUGCGACCAAUAGCCUAUGCACCGCUCUCGUCCGCCCUUCCGGCUACCCCUGCUUCGAACACACGGUGUUGAAAUCUAUCUCUUUUGCUCUUUGAUUUGUUGGAGUGUGAUUGUUUGUUGACCUCUCUUUAACGAAAAUGUUUGUUCACAAAAGCAAUGGCGUGAGUAUUGGGGGACUGUAGAUUCGAAUUUGUUAUCGAGAAAACUCUGGAUUAGUGCUUGAUUGCUUGCAGACUUGUUGAUUGGUUAUAUUUUGUUGAUAUUUGGCAACUAUUAUCGAUCAUAUGUUCCUGCUUGCAUUGUCUAUAACCAUGGAUGAGUAACUAUUACCUGAUUCCAAAUCGCCCUUCCUCUCCUCCCACGCCAAGCUUAGUUCAAUGUAUGAAUUGAGCCACUGACAAUAUCUGUCAGAAACUUAAGGAUCUUAGGAACUCAUAUUUAAACAUAUAAGGAAAUGAAAAUGAACAGAGUGGUUGUUUCUUAGGGGCUCUUUUAACUUCGGGAAAAUAUUUUACAUUGGAAAGUUAAGACAUUGCUAAUGUAAGAGAAUUUGUCUAAGAUGAGGAUCAAAUAGAUAAAAGGGUGAAAAGGAUAAAUAGAUCUGUCUAUCGAAAUUACUCAUUAUUGUGUAAAUAUCUCAGCAAAAAUGUUUACUGAGAUAGAUGCCAUGGUUAUUUACAAUUCUGGACUGCAAAAUGGUGACUUUCUGAUAAUCCUAUGCUUCAAACUCCCUCUUAAGAACAACUAUGAUUGCCUUUGUAAAGUUUGUUAGAGAACAUCUAAGAUUUGGAAAGUGUUCCAUUUUAUUGCCUAGCAGUAAUUUUUUAUUUUAAAAUGUAAAUUUCACCUUUUUUGUGUGUAUUAGACAGUAAGAGAGAUACCAUGGUUGUUUACAAUGGACUUUCUAGUAAUCCUAUGCCUCAAACUCCCUCUUAAGAAGGAUUAUGAUUGCUCUUAUACAGUUUGUUAUAAAGCAUGUCAAUUUUGGUCCAACUCAUUAUCUAUCAAUAUUUUGAUUACAAAAUGUGAUUUUUGUCUUAUUUAUGUGAUAACCACUAUGUUAGAUGUAUUUUAUCUUAUCUUAUUUUACUUUCUUAUCUUGAUUUUGCUUAAUGGUUGCAUGGUCAUAAUACAAGUAACUCAAUUUUACUGGAUGCUUCUCUUGUGAUUGAUACCUCAAGAUAUUGGUAUCGAGCUUAGCGAAAUGGUGAAUUGGGACGUUGUCUCUCUCUCAUUCAUUUACUUUGUUGAUCUUUUUUCAGAUUUAUCAAGAUGUGAAAAGUAUUGCUGUGUUAUUAGUUUUUCCAUUCUACUCAUAUGCACUUGAUUAGUUAGCGCAAAAUUAAGUUAUUCUUUUGAUGAUACUACUUAGCUUGAUGGGUUAGCAAACAAAAAAACCUUCUCUUCGGUUUCUUGAAACACAACUCCAACUGCUGAUAGACUAGUGAAAACGGUAGCUUGAGACUAAAGAUGGUUAUCUUUUGUCCAUUCAACAUGUUCAUCAUGGGGAAAAAACUUUGGGAGAAAUGUCUGGUCCUUCUGUUUUCCUCCAACAUGGUCUUUUUAGGUAUUAACUCAAAGGAUCCUUUUGAUGUGGAUGUCUCUCAAAUUUGAAAAUUUGUUAUAUAAGAGUAUUUUGAUCAUAAUGUUAUGUAGUCCUUUGACUAUUUUUCUCGGCAUUUUGGGAUUGGAGUUGGCAAGAAUUGGGCACGACUAGCAAGCUAUGAUAAGCUAUGUAUAAUCUGUUACAAAUUCUAAAGAUUUCUACGUAGGCCAUUCCCAGGCACAUUUUCAACAUAGGCCAUUCCCAGGCACAUCAUGCCCAGGCAAGCUUUUAUUUUGUUAUGUGCAGGAAGCACAACAGCUCGUCUGAAUUCCAAUUAAGCAUUAUAUACUUGACCAAACUUUUGCCUUGUUGGACCCAAAUUGUAUUUUAAUGAUGUCUUUUAUGUUUGAUCGAGUUCUUCAAACUCCAAUCCAACCCAAGAUUUGCUGUUGGCCAUUUUGAGUCUUAAACUAACCAUCUGUUUGUAUCUACCUUUCCUUUUUGAGCAUCGUUAUUGACUUUUCGGUCUGAAUAUUCAACAUAUGAAAUUUAUCUUCCAGAUUAUGACACUUAAUAAGUGGCUUUGAAAGGGUGUACACAGAGGCAUAUUUUCUGCCUGAUCAGUUGUACAAUGUUAGCGUAUGACCCCCAAUUAAGGUGGCAUUUGGUGUAGAGUGCAAGAAUGGGAAUGAGAAUGGAUUUGAUAGUAGAUUGGAAUGGUAAUGAGUUUAAUCAUUCCAAUAUUGUUGUUUGGUUUAUAAGCUUUGAUUAGGUAUAAUUACCAAUUCUGCUGGUUGGUUUACCAAAGGUUUAGGAAUAUAAAUACAAUAAUAUUAUUUUUAAAAUAAAUAAUAAUAUUCCCGGUAAGAUGAUGAACAAGCAACCAAUUAAGAACACUAUUUAGCAGGUGGUUGAGCACGUUGGCCAUGGUCUUGCUGGAGACGCAUAUCACCAUCCUCUCCCACCGUCGGGGGCGUUGGCGUUGAACUUGGUCAGCACGUUCUUGAAGCUCUUGUUCUGCUCAUGUGUUGCACCCCUUCGGGCAGAGGAACAAGAUCGUGCUGGGGUAGCGAGGCGCUGCCAUCGCUGAUGGGAGAACCUCCAUCCAUGGUGGCGCCAUUAAUCGGUUUGCUACACAUUUAACAAACAAAAUAAAGAAAAGAUCCGAACUUGAUUUUGUUUUCUUCUUCAAUUACUGACAGAAAUCAAGAACACGAGAAGGAGGAUUAAGAUGGAAAGAAAUCAAGAACACGAGAAGGAGGAUUAAGAUGGAAAGGUGAGGCCUUCCCCCCUUUCCUCUCCCAAAAGAUCGAAACUUCUACACUCGCAGAGAUUUCUUGUUUGAUCAAUUGCAGAAAUCAAGAACAUGAUCAGAUCUCUUGGAGAAGGCCUUUCCUCCUCUUUCUCUAUCAAAACUCCUGCUCGAAACUUCCAAGAAUUUUUCCCUCAAUUACCGACCGAAAAGGAUGAGAUUUCCAAUGAUACUUUCUCCUCUUCCGUUCCCAAAAGAUCAAAACUUUAAACACUUGUAGAUACAUUUUGUCCUUUGCUAUAAAUUGAUGAUUCGAAUGCACUAAUUAAUGCUCAUUUUAUUCACUAAUUAAUGCUCAUUUUAUU